GGAACCCAGCAGUGCUGUGGGAUCUCAGGAAGCAGAGCUCUGGGCAUCUCCACCAUGGACUGGAUUCCUCUCCUGCUCCCUGUCCUCACUCUCUGCACAGGCUCCAUGGCCUCCAGUGUGUUGACUCAGCCUCAUUCGGUGUCAGUGUCCCUGGGACAGACAGCUACCAUCACCUGCUCUGGAGAGAUACUGUCAGAAAAAUAUGCAUAUUGGUACCAGCAGAAGCCAGGCCAACCCCCUGUGCAGGUCAUUUAUAAGGACACUGAGCGUCCCUCUGGGAUCCCAGACCGAUUCUCUGGCUCCAGUUCAGGGACCACACACACCCUGACCAUCAACGGGGCCCAGGCCGAGGAUGAGGCUGACUAUUACUGUCAGUCAUCAGAAAGCAGUGGUGAAGCUCACAGUGACACAGGCAGAUGGGGAAGCUCUGUGACCUCCAGUGAGCUGACUCAGCCGCUCUUUGUGUCAGUGGCCCUAGGUCAGAUGGCUAAAAUCACCUGCACUGGAGAGGAACUGGAAUAUGGUUAUGUACAUUGGUACCAGCAGAAGCCAGGCUCCGUGGUCUCCAGUGAGCUGACUCAGCCACCCUUUGUGUCAGUGGCCCUGGGACAGAUGGCUACAAUCACCUGCACUGGAGAGGAACUGAAUAUGAUUAUGUACACUGGUACCAGUAAAAGCCAGGAGAAGCCCCUUUGA